UCCUUUUGUCAUGCAGCAGUUAAUCAAAGAUGCAACAAUUCAGCACAGGUUGGACAUCAACUACACACUGACUGUUCUGCCUGAAAAUGAGCCCUUUUACCAUCUAGCAUCAGUGAUGGCGGUAACCGAUGCCGCCUUUGAUGCCCUCUGUUCGGAGUCUGGCAUCAGCUUUAAACUGGACAACCGUCCU